AGGGUGUAAACGCUGCAGACUUGGUGUUGGAGGCCCUUUGGGGGCAUUCAGUGCCGGAGAGAAGUUGUUAAGUCUGCUACUUGGGGAGUACGUCCGCAAAGGAUGAAACUUAAAGGAAUUGGCGGGGGAGCACCGCAACGGGAGGAGCGUGCGGUUUAAUUGGAUUCAACACCGUAAACUCACCAGGGAAGACUGUUACAUGAAGGCCGAGAUGUAGACUCUGCUAGAUUUUCAGAGAGGAGGUGCAUGGCGUCAGUGACU
rnacentral:rRNA from 1 species